rnacentral:snoRNA from 1 species
CCUCUGUAGUCAAAGAGGUGCCCAUGGUUGUCGGUACCCUGGGCACACCAGGCUGGCAGGGAGAGCACCGGUGUGAGGAAGCCGAGGCGUGCCUGCACGAGUCACGCAGCAACACGCGCAAUGUUCCUCGCACAGUCACGAUUCUGUUGCCACGGAAAUAAUGACUUCUCCCGUGUCAUUAUUGAUCUGUCGACAGUAAGAGCAAUUUUGCAGUCAGAUAUUGUUUAGCAAAUAAAGGAAUAUCUGCUGAACACUGGAAACUGCUAUAAAU